ensembl:lncRNA
ACGGACUGACAGACACGCAGACGGACGGACACGCAGACGGACGGACACGCAGACAGACGGACACACGGACGGACAGACACGCAGACGGACGGACACGCAGACGGACAGACACGCAGACGGACGGACACGCAGACGGACGGACACGCAGACGGACGGACACGCAGACGGACGGACACGCAGACGGACGGACACGCAGACAGACGGACACGCAGACGGACGGACACGCAGACGGACGGGUGCAGCUGUCUGAUGUCCUCGCCGUGUUUUCUUCUUUGACCACUACGGCAGCUCGACCUGUAGGAGAACCUCGAGAACUUGAACUCUGCCGUGUUUCAUUUCUUCAGAAUGCAGCUUUUGUUCAUUGAAAGAGAAAAGAACCAGAGAAGCUUUUGCUUCCCAAAGUAUUUCAAGCGAUUAAUCGGGUUCUUUUUGCCAAACAACUUUUUAGAAAAUGAUCUUUAAAAGACUCUGAUUGCUUGUUUUGUUUCCACCAUGAGACACAGAAACCAUCAAAUGUUCUCCUUCCCGUUCUUCUCUCCUGGGUUUCGGUUCCUGCACCAUGUGACCAGGUUUGUUUUAGAGUGCAGGGAACAAACCAUGACCUUCCCAUUAACAAAGGCUUCUCUGAGUUCCUGAGAGGUUCCUUGGUGAGGAACCCUGUGAGUUGUUGGUGAGAGCCAAUCGGAGAGCAGAGAGCGCCCCGCUGACCAAUCGGGGGCCGAGGGUUUAGACUGCAGCACUGUAACUUCCUGUUUAAAACCAGCAGAAAGCGGCUUUUUACCUUAAAAACAACUGCUAAGUUCCAAGGGAUUAAAAGAAUAAAAUGAAAAUAGAAGCUUGUUGUCUUCUCGUUCCGGGGCGUUUUAUUGGAGCUUCAAAGAGACGUCCCUUUUCCGUGUGAUUGUGCUUUUCAUGUUGCAUUUACGAGAUGUAUCUGAACAUCAAUAAAGAUGAACUAUUAAUGAAUGUGAGGACUAUUUGGCCAGACGAGUCGUGGAGAGACGCUUGUUUUUGUUAUUUGAGGCUCGUGGUUCUGGGUUUGUGGACUAAAUGGACAUUUCUCCCUGUCGGAGGUCGGAGGUCGGGGGGCUGAAGGGGCGGUUGGUUUCUGGUGGAAUCGGCCUUUAAAUAAAUAAACGUAAACUAUGUUCUCCCUGGACGCUGCGUGUCUGUUAUUGAUCCACUUCAGUAAAGGUAAUCGUACAACAGUACUCAUGUAUCAGGGUAUGGUACACUCAAAUACUCGUCUGAGUACACAGAAGGGAUACUCAAACAGUCCACAGGAAAUACUCACAAGCUCCUGCAGACACGGUGGACUACUUCCUGUCCAGGUGAGAGUCCAAUUAUUCUAUAUAUAUGUAUCACUGGUUUAGGCCGGUGAUUAACAAAGGAAAUGCCCAUAUUCUAUAAAUAAUUGUAGUUGUAUUUAUACGCACACAUGUACCUAUAUGUUUACAUGUGGAUCCUGCUAGAAUAAUAUGGUAAGAACUGCUGAACAUGAGGAGUCAUGUGACCUGGCAGAUCAAAUCUUCAAAGAAACCACGGAGCUGAUGGUAAAAACCUCAGGCCGCACUUGCCGGCUGCCGCUUAGAAACCGUUCAACAGUUUCUCACCGUGUCAUCAGACUGAGGGAAAACCCUUAGGAUCCUCACAGGGAGGCAAGAGGAGGUCUAAAGGUCUCCAUCAGUCCUGGUCCCUCUAGACCAGACGAGCCGAAGCAGGUAUGACACCUUCUUUUGUGCAUUUUGCACACUAUCGAUAUUAUGAGUAAAUACCUUGUUAUUAAGCAGUCUCACUAGUAUACUGGUCUAAGGCAGUCUGCACUGGUCUGAGCUAGUGUACUGGUCUAAGGCAGUCUGCACUGGUCUGAGCUAGUGUACUGGUCUAAGGCAGUCUGCACUGGUCUGAGGUAGUAUACUGGUCUAAGGCAGUCUGCACUGGUCUGAGGCAGUACUGUACUGGUUUAGUCCUUGUGGUGCUGGCUUUUCUUCCUUGGAGGUUUUUGUAGGAGGUGUCUUCACCGUGUCUACUUGGUAUCCCACAGUGACUGAAUUUCCACAUAGAGCUGAACAGAAACCUCCAGUUGGCUGUAGAGUCUCUGGUCCCAGUCAGGACACAUUGAAAAUCAGAAGGGGGACCCACCCAACCCCCAGGUGAGUCCCAGGUGAGUCCUUGGCGGCUCUUCACCUGAAAUCACUCACUCUUCUUCACUCUCACUGAAUGCUGCGUCUGUGCUGCUGACGCUGUGUAAUAUUCUCACAUAAAUGUGAAGAUCUGCCGGUGUUCGUUCCUCUGAGCUCUAAAGACUCGAGGCCUCACGUCUUGUGGGUUUCUUACGUUUUCCAUCGUUUCUGAGGACAUCUGAGCUCUGAGGUUUUUGUGCAAGCCUGUAACACUGUGUUGUUGUUCGGGAAUCCGAUCCGUCUGACUGUCACUCCUAAAGGUAAGAAACACACUUUAUUCUUAGUAGUUCCAUCUACAGCUUGUGUGCAUCAGUUGAGACAAUCAAAUCCGUUGUUUAAAAGCUCAUGAACGAUUUAUUUUAAGCUGUUUUAAAUAUCUGCCUUUUAACUCUGACAUGUGUCAGAGUCAAAAGUUAAGAGUUCAUGUAUACGUGUGAUAUAUAUAUAUAUAUAUAUAUAUAUAUAUAUAUAUAU